AUGCUGUUCAUACCUCCACCACUAGAGGGAGGUGUUGGCUCUGAAUGUUCACUGAAACGCUAUAUAAGGAUGAGAGAGAGAAGGGAAGCUGGAGAGUACGGAUCAGUGGAAGUUUUCCUCCUGAGCUGAGCAUUGUGGAAACCGUCUGCAGAUGUGGAUCACCAUCAAAGUGUGCUUCUCCCAUUGAGUGAGGCAUCCACACCCUUCAGAAGUCAGGAAGGCUGUGUUUGCUCCAGGGAUUACAUUACCACACCAGAGGCCUGCAAAGACAGACCCACGGACAGACCCUGCUGCAUCACGGCCCAAGGAGUCACAGGAGAGGAGGUCAGCCAGGGAGAGGCCCACAGCUGCGGCUGCGAGGUCCCAGCAUGUUUAUUUGGGCAAGCCCAACCAAAAUAAGCUCCAGCCAGGCAUUGCUCCUGAGGACUGGGGCCACCACCGCUGCGGCGCUUUUCAUCCUAACAAUGGGGAAAGUGCUCGGGCCGAGGAGGGAGCCGCACAGCGCAGUUUACCGUAGAACAGCUGCCUCAUCUGUGGGGGAGGAAGUGCCCUGCAGAUGUGGCCAGGAUAGACGGUUCAUGUUCCCACACCUACUCCUGUUGUACAGUUGUUCACCCAUGCUCAGCGGUCAGUGAAUGAGUUCCUUUGUUUUACAUGAGAGAGAUUGCCUGCCGAGUGGAAACGCCACAGGAUGGAGAGCCAGAAUGAGUACAGUGUUAGAUAUUUGCUUGAAAUAUGUUACAUAGGUUGUAUAACGUGAAGAACUGUGUACUGUGCCAAAAUAAUUCAGAUAUGAUCUUCAUGUGAUUUUGAAGGCAGCUACAUGUGUUAUGUGUCAUGGCCCUCUUGGUGUAUGGUAUUCUUAAGGUUGCAGUGUUGUGAAUGCUUGUGUGGACUUCAAUGGGAAUGGCUGAUUCACUGAUAAUGAAUAAUGUAAAAUAAACCAUCAACA